rnacentral:rRNA from 1 species
GACAGAGGUGCCGAGCGUUAGGCGGAAUCACUGGGCUUAAAGCGUGUGUAGGCGGAUUCCUAAGUACCUUGUGAAAUCCCAUGGCUCAACCAUGGAACUGCUUGGUAUACUGGGUGUCUUGAGCCAGCUAGGGGCUACUGGAACAAGCGGUGGAGCGGUGAAAUGCGUAGAUAUCGCUUGGAACGCCAACGGUGAAAACAGGUUGCUGGGGGUGUGCUGACGCUGAGACACGAAAGCCAGGGGAGCGAACGGG